UAACUAGUAAUUUAAGUUUAAAAUAUUAAUUUUGUAAAUUAAAAAUAAAUAUAAAAUAUAUUUUUAGUUAG
rnacentral:tRNA from 1 species